GCAUCAACUCAUGACCACUAGAGCUUCUUGGACACGAUGCUGCCCUUGUACCCCUGCUGGUUCCUGUUUGGGUUUCCUACCUACCCCUUCAGCUGAGUUUCUUCCUAUUCCCUUCCUCCCUGACUGUUCCACCUGCCUGCAGUCUGAUUGCAGCAAUGAGAAUCAGCUGCUGUAAUUGACUCACACCAGUCACCUGUUUGCAAUUCCACCUCCCAGCAUAUAAGCCAGCUCUGUCAUUCACUCCCUGCUCCACCAUGGACUUGCAUAUCCUGCAUCAACUCAUGACCACUAGAGCUUCUUGGACACGAUGCUGCCCUUGUACCCCUGCCAGUUCCUGUUUGGGUUUUCUACCUACCCCUUCAGCUGAGUUUCUUCCUAUUCCCUUCCUCCCUGACUGUUCCACCUGCCUGCAGUCUGAUUGCAGCAAUGAGAAUCAGCUGCCGUAAUUGGCUCACACCAGUCACCUGUUUGCAAUUCCACCUCCCAGCAUAUAAGCCAGCUCUGUCAUUCACUCCCUGCUCCACCAUGGAUGCGCACAUCCUGCAUCAACUCGUGACCACCAGAGCUUCUUGGACACGAUGCUGCCCUUGUACCCCUGCUGGUUCCUGUUUGGGUUUCCUACCUACCCCUUCAGCUGAGUUUCUUCCUAUUCCCUUCCUCCCUGACUGUUCCACCUGCCUGCAGUCUGAUUGCAGCAAUGAGAAUCAGCUGCCAUAAUUGGCUCACACCAGUCACCUGUUUGCAAUUCCACCUCCCAGCAUAUAAGCCAGCUCUGUCAUUCACUCUCUGCUCCACCAUGGACGUGCACAUCCUGCAUCAACUCGUGACCACCAGAGCUUCGUGGACACGAUGCUGCCCUUGUACCCCUGCCGGUUCCUGUUUGGGUUUCCUACCUACCCCUUCAGCUGAGUUUCUUCCCAUUACCAUCUGCUACAAAGCAUUACUGGGUAACAAAUACACCUAAUGAAGAUCAGAAAUAUUCAAGCAGAAACCUUCAGCUUCCAUGAAGAUUGAAAUCAUUCUGCCAUGAAGACCUAACAACCUUCAAAGACAAAUUGAAAAUGGGUAAGAAAUGAAAGUACACACUGUUUAGUCUAGACCAUCAUUUGUGCCAACGUCUGUGUUUUUAGAUUCUAUCAAGAUGGGAAAAAUAA
ensembl:lncRNA